GCAGGAUGGAGUUGGCUGGUCAA
rnacentral:piRNA from 1 species